AAUAUCUAAUUUUUAUAAUUAAUAAUAAAAUUACAAACGGAAUAACUUCUAUUAAAAGAAAUUCGAGGUAGAACAUAUAAUACAUUUAAGAAUAAUAUAAAGCUGUAAAAAGGAAUAACGUUCAAUAACAUCAUUCACAGAGAAACAGAAAAGAGGUGAGAAAGAUGAAAAACCAAUCUCUAAAUGGCUACUGUUAAGCAAAAUUGUUCUCUAAUGUACAUUACCAAUUCAAAUUGGUACUGAAUUACGGAAGAUAAAUAUCUUUUCAGAGUAAUAUAAUAAAAUCAGCUGUCAAAAAAAUUUCCGUCGAAUAAUGUAAAAUUUAUGCAAUGCAUAGCAAAUAGAAUAUUGUCUGUAUGCAUAUAAAUCGAAAAGUGGCACUAAGAUAUUAAAAUAAUAUAAUACAUUUUAGAUGUAUCUGUUUAGUGUGCUUUCACAUAUAUAUUUAAAAAAUAAAAAUAUGUAUUAACAUAAUAAAGUAUUAUAUAUAUAUACAUACGAAAGUAUAUUAAUCUCAUAUUUUUUAUUCUGAAUCAGUAGCAUAUAAUAAUCUAAAUAAUCUUUAUUCUUUAUAUUUGAAAUAAUUAGUUAUAAUAAAAUAAGUAAAAUCCUAAAAAGUAGAGUUUUUUCGUGCGGUAAAAUAAAAAUGCAAUAUUCUAAAAAUAUUUUUGUUGUUCUCUUUUUUACAAUGUCCUACAUUGUGUAGAUUUCAAACUAUUCAACGCGAACGACGGCGAUUCUAUCGAACUCUCGGCAAAAUGAGAACCAAAUUUUCGCCAUCUCCGUGUCAAAUCUCGCUGACGCUGCCCACGUAGUUUAAACAAACUAUACGGGAGUGAAGUCAACAACACGAAAUGACAGAUCCACUAUCGGUACGAGAUUUUAUAUAUUAAAUCGCGGAACGCGUCACGACAUGCUACCGGUAAUGGAUUUCGAUCGGCGCAUUUCGAACCAAAUAUUUAUUCAUUAUGAUAAAUGAAAAGCGCGUCGCGUUGUACAGAAAUCAGUCGGCGAUCGCCUACGAAAUAGCGCUCGAUGUCCGCGCAGUAUUGAAGGCCGUCGAGAGAUUUGCGUCGAAUCGCGCAAAUAGAUUGAACAAUGAUCCACCACCAAACUCAUGUGGCACACAAAAUUAAAUGAUCAAUAUAUCUUCCAAAAGCGCGUCUCGCUCGCGGUUCACGAAUCAAUGAAUACGAAAGUUGGAAACAAGGUGAUGAAAAAAAAAUCAGUCAAUGAUUAUUCAUGACAUGCGUCCGUGCAUAAAAAAAACUGAGAGAAGCAAAACCAAACAAAAAAAAUCGUACUGAAUCGAAGAUGUACUGUUACCCGACACUUUAAUAUUGUAGUGUGUGUGUGUGUGUGUGUAGGUAUUUCGCAGAUAUAAUAUAAUUUCAAAAUAUAUAAAUUAAAAAGAUAAAAAAAAGCAAUUCAAACUCUUAACAAUAAAUGAGAUCAAUAAGCUAAUAUUAAUGGAUCAUUUAUAAAUAAAAUCACACGUUUCGAGAAAUGAAAUUUAAAUCUGUGAUGUAUAUAUUUUUAUAUCUUGCCGUUUAAAGAUAUUUUACUUUUAAGAAUUAUAGCAGCUAUAUAUUAAACAGUCUAAGGCGUACGAUUAAAAAUGUACACCGUGGUGAAAUACGUCUUCUGAUCCGCUAUCGCUCGCUCGGCUUGAUUACUGUGUCCCCUAUCACAACGGGAUCGGGGGCUCGCCCGCGGAAGACAUCAGCUCGUUAGGGAAUGGGGAACGAUACUCCAGCAUUAAUAAAGCCGCACACUCAUGCCGCAAGUAUUCCGAGAGCCGAGUGGCCACAUUUUAAACCCUGGAUUACUCCUCUCGUUUAAUAGUCCAUUAAUGUUUAAAAUGUAUGAAAGUAAUAAAAAAAUUUAUAUUCAAUUUUUCUACCAUACAUAAAAUUUAUUUCGACACUAUAUCUUCAGGAGAGAGAGAGAGAGAGAGAAAUUUAUAUCGAGGGCUAAAAACAGAACGAGAAAAACGGAGAGAGGGAAUACCGGGUGUGGAGAAAAUACAAAGCGCAAAAAGCCGCCGCGAUCGACUUAAGAUCAGCGGAUAUGUAGUAAAAAAGUAAUAGACUAGGGGCUGGACCGGAUAUAAAGCGCCAGGAUACAAUCUCUCGUAUAUGUAUAUGAGGAGAAAAACAAGUCCGGCUGGUUCCGCGACCGAGAGAUACAUGUGAAUAAAAUACAGCGAGAGAAACGGAGAUUAGCAUAUUCGUCCAUUUGGAAUUUCAAUUAUUAAAAUUACGCAAACAUAGACAGAAUAGGGGACAGACCAAUAACACGGCUGCAGAUGACGAGAGCGCAAACUUUAAUGGUAUUCGGGAGAUAGGAUACAUGAGAGAUGGACUAGAGAUGUAUGACAUACAUUUCUCUGUGAUCGUUAAAACUGUUAUCGCUUCGCAGGCAGAUUGAAAUGGAUUGUCGUUGGGUCAACGUCGCGGAAAACGUCAAGGAAAUCAUCCGGGGUGAAUACAAGAGAUAGUGUGUCGCCUGGGCUCGACAUAAUUGAAUUAAAGAGCGAAGUGGAUAGAAGAAGUACAUCACGUUCUCGCGAGCAUCGAGUUAUUUCAAAAUUCAAAUAAUAUCACUGAAAAUCAAACCAUCUGUCAUGAGGAAUGUCAAAACACAUAAUCGCGCACACAUAAAUGCGAAAAAAAAGGACCUUGGUAAAUUUCAAAAUGCAUGUCGACUGCAGUGGCGUCAAGCUCCGUGAGAAAGCAUGUGCAAGGAAUACAAAAGGGGGCCUCGUACAGAAGGGGUGGCAGAAUAAUAUUGGCAACGUAGCGUAUCCAUAUACGGCUAACGGUACUAUUAUAUACACCGAGCUCUAUCGCACGCAUUAUGUGUGACGCUGAUUAGCGACAUAUAUUCUCGUGCACCGUUUAGGAUUAUCUCACGCGUCCUUGUGGACCUUCUAAAUAUGGUAAGUACGUAUUUUAAGCUUAUUUAAGCUAACAUCAACGUGUGCCAGAAUCCCUAACCGGAAUAAUCAGCGAACAAUCGAGAUAAAUAUCUCCCCCUUUUUCUGUUGUAUAGGGUGUCACAUAAUUCACAACGUUUAUUUUGUAGUGACAGUAGUGAUACUCUGAAGAACAUAAUGUCGUUUCUUUUAAAUGUGGGAAAUAUCGAUUUUAGAUUUAAAAAAUCAUAUUAAGUAUUUUAUUUGUUUUAUUAUCAUUUUUAUGUGUUAGGUUAUCUUUAAUCAAUACUUUCACAUUAAAAAAAAAAGGAAAAAAUUUCGCAACUUACAAAAUGAGGUUUUGGAACAACAUUUCAACAAGUUUUUUUUCUAUAUAAGAUAAUCUAAUAAAGUAAAACAAAGAAUAAAAAAUGUUUAAUCAAAUAUGAAAAUAUCAAAAAUAUCAAAAAUUAAAAAUAUAAAA
rnacentral:lncRNA from 1 species